GCCUGGCCAUCUGCUCCAGCAGCUCCUUGAGCAGGGUGCACCUGCAACCAGGUUCUUUUAACUGAACAAGCUCGCAGGUAUGGUGAGGUAUUUCCUUUACUGCAAUCUAAAUGGAAAUCACAGUGAGUUGGAUGGCCUACUGCUGUUCUUCUCUCGUGCCAGAGAAGGCCAUGUCUCCCAGCACCACAAAAGGCCGUCCAUACAGCCCAGCGCUGUGGGAGGCGGUUCCGCCCAACACCGUGACGUCUCUACCACCCAACACAGCUUCAAGCCACUGUGCGUCAGCCUCCAUUUUGUGCUGGGGCCAGAAGGCCGCACUGCCCCAUAGCGCAGAUGGCCACAGCCCCACCCUCCAUUAUGAGCUGGGCCAGUAGGCCACAGCGUCCAAUAGCAGUGAAGGUCACUGCCCCACCCGCCAUUAUGACAUGGGCCAGCACACAGUAUAAAAGGCCGCUGGCGCACC
ensembl:lncRNA